rnacentral:rRNA from 2 species
GAUAAGCUCAAAUUUAAAAUCUGGUAGCUUCGCUGCCCGAGUUGUAAUCUGGAGAAGUGCUUUCUGUGCUGGACCGUGUACAAGUCUCUUGGAACAGAGCGUCAUAGAGGGUGAGAAUCCCGUCUUUGACACGGACUACCAGUGCUUUGUGAUGCGCUCUCAAAGAGUCGAGUUGUUUGGGAAUGCAGCUCAAAAUGGGUGGUAAAUUCCAUCUAAAGCUAAAUAUUGGCGAGAGACCGAUAGCGAACAAGUACCGUGAGGGAAAGAUGAAAAGAACUUUGGAAAGAGAGUUAAACAGUACGUGAAAUUGCUGAAAGGGAAACGCUUGAAGUCAGUCGCGUUGGCCGGAACUCAGCCUGGCUUUGGCUUGGUGCAUUUUCUGGUUGACGGGUCAGCAUCAGUUUUGAUCGUCGGAUAAUGGUUGAGGGAAUGUGGCAUCUUCGGAUGUGUUAUAGCCCUCAGUCGCAUACGAUGGUUGGGACUGAGGAUCUCAGCACACCUUUAUGGUCGGGGCUCGCCCACGUUUGUGCUUAGGAUGCUGGCAUAAUGGCUUUAAACGACCCGUCUUGAAACACGGACCAAGGAGUCUAACAUGCGUGCGAGUGUUUGGGUGGAAAACCCGAGCGCGUAAUGAAAGUGAAAGUUGAGAUCCCUGUCGUGGGGAGCAUCGACGCCCGGACCAGACCUUCUGUGACGGCUCUGCGGUGGAGCAUGUAUGUUGGGACCCGAAAGAUGGUGAACUAUGCCUGAAUAGGGUGAAGCCAGAGGAAACUCUGGUGGAGGCUCGUAGCGAUUCUGACGUGCAAAUCGAUCGUCAAAUUUGGGUAUAGGGGCGAAAGACUAAUCGAACC